GUGUGUGAUCAGAAAAGUUUGGAGAUCAUAGCCAUAGAGAACUAAAAUGAGAAAUCAGAUCAAAGCGGUAAGGCUAACCUUCAGCAUUGCUGUUCUGUCCAUUUUCUGACGACAUCUUCUCAAAGAUUGCUCUCCCCCUUUUCACACUGGACUCCAUCACAGAAAUGUCUGAAUGGCUCCCAGGCUGACUCGCUGAUGUUGGUGACAGUGAGCUUCUCCCACUUUCUCCUUCCUGUUUGAAGACAUCGAGGGGAUGUGAUUUAGAAGCUACUGGUAAAUUGGUCUUAAGUGAUUUCCACCUAAAUACUUUUAUGGACAGAUUUCUGAGAUGGUGGCCACCAUGUGAGAAGGCUUGAAGUCACGUCAACCUUUUUUAACUGUGUAUGUGUCUAGUCUUGGUGAGAGCAAGUAUUCAAUUGGGGCACAGACUGUUUUGUGGAGCACCCUGUUUAACAGCGUUCACUCUUUUUUUUUGUUGGACACAAGUUGCUGAAAUGUGUCUACAAAAUGCAUAUGUAAGAAAUGAAUAA
rnacentral:lncRNA from 1 species